rnacentral:lncRNA from 1 species
GAAAGACUGUUUCUGUCAUUUGCUAUUAAUUGUGUCUUCAGAGAAGAGUUAAAGCGGGGGAAGUUCACCUGGAUUAUUUAAUAUGAAAAUAAAUGUUUCCAGUUUGGUUUAAAAGAAAGCGACUCCGAAUCGAUAUUAUUUUCUUGCAGUAAAAUGCAAAAUCCAGAAAAAAAAGAACUUAAGUAAGGGGGAAUUGCUUUGCUAGUGUUUGCAGCAAACACUUCUAUCACAGAGGCUUAAACUGUCCUGCUGUCUCUCUGCCCGCCUGUUUGCUGUCUCCAGUCAGCUAGAACAUGCUGACCACUUCCUACUAGUCUCAACAGAGACAUUAAAAUGCCAAAAAAGAAGAAUUUUAUUCUUGCAAGAAAAUGUGUGAAGGGGGAGAGACCCACGCUUGGGCUGCCACCAAGAGAAAACCUUCAGCGUGCUCAGCCCCCUUGCCAGACACCGAAAAGCCACAGAAGAGGACCGGCACCCCGCAGGGCCCCCAGACAGAGCCAGCAACACCUGGUGCCUCUCCUACCUCCAGAACCAAGGCUACUGCUUUGUUUCAGUGCCUCAGCUGGGCUGGCCAGCAGAGAGAAACGCCUCAGCAGGACAGAGACCCCGGGACAGUGCACAAUGAAGACUCAGGAGCCUUCAUCGCAGAGCUUGUGCUUACAAACCUGUGUGCAAAAGCUGAAACGUGGGAAUUCCUGACCGGGAAGCGGGAGGGGGCUGCCAGUUCCUAUCAGCCACCAGCCGUCGGGGCAUGUGCAGAAAAUGCUGAUUUCCUCCAGGACCUUCGCACAUCAGCCUGGGUGAAGCAGCUCAUUAAAAGCAACUAAUUGCUGCAGUCAGUUGUGACAUGAAUUUUUCAAGGUUAAUUUAGCUUAGCACUAAGAGUCCUCCAUUUAUCUCCAAAGAGGGCGAACCGUACCUGCCAGGCAGCCACCCCUAUGCUGCAUCUCCCCUCUGCAGACCCUCCAGAGCCAGGAGAUCCGAUGUGGAGCAUCCUCAGGGACCGCUGCGAGGGAGCGUGGGGGAAACCCGACCCAGGGAAGGCAAAGGUGUGGUACCACAGUGCCGUGCUUGAUGCGUGCACCAGCCUUGCUUUGUCCUGAAUGAUUCCUUCAAGAGUCCUUUCAGCCAUUUGCACAACUUACAGGAACACUGGGGAAAGCAGAGGCUGAAACAUGAAAAGUUCACUAAAACUUCCAGGUUCAACUCCCUGAUCCCAUCGCCCCCUAACCAUAAAGUUUCCAUAAAAAAUUCUCCCCACUGAUGGAUUCCCAGGUGGUAUUAAAGAUGGCAGUAACUCUCUGCUGGGUCUUGCUGGAACUGUUACAGUGCUCGGCGUGGAAUCCUUUUCCGCUCCCUCAAAGAACAAAACAAGACCAGAGAAGGAAGCCAACACCGUGCCUUCUCCGGAGGUGGUGUUUCAGGCUGGGCUGUGGGUGGUUGCACCAGAAUCUGCCCUCCUUUUUGGAAAGUCUGUACUAACCAGGCAGUGCUGGGGGUUUGGUGUGUGGGCCACCAAGAGAUGAGGCCACGCAGGAGCAAUGGGGACCUGUGGCCAUCUGCCCUGGUGGUCACCCACAGCACAUCACCAACCAUGUCCCCCCAGGAGACAACUGCAGAGCCCAACCUUGCCAAAUUCUGGGUGCGGUGGGGCUGAGAGCUGGGUCACUGGGGGCACCCCAAGCCCUGUCACCCCCAAACCUGCCCCCCACCCUUGGAGGAGGUGUGUGGUGCUGAAGGGGAGACCACACUGGGGCUCGCCCCACCUCAGCAAGGGCCUUCUUG